UUUUUCUUCAUCAACAUAAUCUAAACUGGACAAAUUCCUCGCUGAUUGAUACCAGUUUGACUACGAAGGUUACACUUGAUUCUGCUGUGGUGCCUGUGGAAACGAAGUGCAUGAAGUUUGUGCUCAGGUGGGAAAACCCUGUAGAUCACAUGGUGGGACUUCUGCUUCAAACUGCUCACUACAGUUUACCGUUGCCUCUGUCAUCCAACAGUUCACUACAGACUGGCACCUGCCAAGAACCGUACAUGGAUGUCUUCUUAAGUUGUAAACCCUGAGUACAUACUGUUAAAAUAAAAUUGAUAUGCCUUUUGUAAAUACAUUUUCUCUAUCAAUGACUUAAAUUGUUAACUGUGGUAAUUGUUUGUGUAAUGUAGUAACCAUGUACAGUGUUUAAUGUAAUUAUUAAAUAGAUGUAUUAAAGAAACAACCACAAACCUUAUUCUUUUGUUCCACAAUGGCAGCUUUAAUUUUAGCAUUUCCUCUCCUUCACAUACUUCGUUGCCAGAUGUGUAAAAUUUACAAAAAGAAGCAAUUUAAAUGUAAAAGUUGCACAUAUGUAGAUUACUCAAGAGAAGCUAUUUACAAUAGUUUUUACA